UACGGAGGAUCCGAGCGUUAUCCGGAUUUAUUGGGUUUAAAGGGUGCGCAGGCGGGAGAUUAAGUCGGCGGUGAAAUUUUGCAGCUCAACUGUAAAAGUGCCUUCGAAACUGGUUUCCUUGAGUGUAGAUGAAGUAGGCGGAAUUUGUGGUGUAGCGGUGAAAUGCAUAGAUAUCACGAGGAACUCCGAUUGCGCAGGCAGCUUACUAAACCACUACUGACGCUCAUGCACGAAGGCGUGGGGAUCAAACAGGAUUAGAUACCCCU
rnacentral:rRNA from 1 species